AGAUUGAACGCUGGCGGCAGGCCUAACACAUGCAAGUCGAGCGGCAGCACGGGUACUUGUACCUGGUGGCGAGCGGCGGACGGGUGAGUAAUGCCUAGGAAUCUGCCUGAUAGUGGGGGAUAACGUUCGGAAACGGACGCUAAUACCGCAUACGUCCUACGGGAGAAAGUGGGGGAUCUUCGGACCUCACGCUAUCAGAUGAGCCUAGGUCGGAUUAGCUAGUUGGUAGGUAAAGGCCUACCAAGGCUACGAUCCGUAACUGGUCUGAGAGGAUGAUCAGUCACACUGGAACUGAGACACGGUCCAGACUCCUACGGGAGCAGCAGUGGGAAUAUUGGACAAGUGGGACGAAAGCCUAGAUCCAGCCAUGCCGCGUGUGUGAAGGAAGGUCGUUACGGAUUUAG
rnacentral:rRNA from 1 species